AGAGUUUGAUCCUGGCUCAGGAUUAACGCUGGCGGCGUGCCUAACACAUGCAAGUCGAGCGAUGAAGCUUCCUUCGGGAAACGGAUUAGCGGCGGACGGGUGAGUAACACGUGGGUAACCUGCCUUAUAGUGGGGGAUAGCCUUUCGAAAGGAAGAUUAAUACCGCAUAAGAUUGCAGUAUCGCAUGAUAUAGCAAUUAAAGGAGCAAUUCGCUAUAAGAUGGACCCGCGUCGCAUUAGCUAGUUGGUGAGGUAACGGCUCACCAAGGCGACGAUGCGUAGCCGACCUGAGAGGGUGAUCGGCCACAUUGGGACUGAGACACGGCCCAGACUCCUACGGGAGGCAGCAGUGGGGAAUAUUGCACAAUGGGCGAAAGCCUGAUGCAGCAACGCCGCGUGAGUGAUGACGGCCUUCGGGUUGUAAAACUCUGUCUUCAGGGACGAUAAUGACGGUACCUGAGGAGGAAGCCACGGCUAACUACGUGCCAGCAGCCGCGGUAAUACGUAGGUGGCAAGCGUUGUCCGGAUUUACUGGGCGUAAAGGGAGCGUAGGCGGAUGUUUAAGUGGGAUGUGAAAUACUCGGGCUCAACUUGAGUGCUGCAUUCCAAACUGGAUAUCUAGAGUGCAGGAGAGGAAAGGAGAAUUCCUAGUGUAGCGGUGAAAUGCGUAGAGAUUAGGAAGAAUACCAGUGGCGAAGGCGCCUUUCUGGACUGUAACUGACACUGAGGCACGAAAGCGUGGGGAGCAAACAGGAUUAGAUACCCUGGUAGUCCACGCAGUAAACGAUGGAUAAUAGAUGCAGGGGGUAUUCACUCCUUCUGUGUCGCAGCUAACGCAAUAAAGUAUCCCGCCUGGGGAGUGCGGCCGCAAGGUUGAAACUCAAAGGAAUUGACGGGGGCCCGCACAAGCAGCGGAGCAUGUGGUUUAAUUCGACGCAACGCGAAAAACCUUACCAAGACUUGACAUCGCGCGCUAUCCCUGGAAACAGGGAGUUCCUUCGGGACGCGCAGACAGGUGGUGCAUGGUUGUCGUCAGCUCGUGUCGUGAGAUGUUCGGUUAAGUCCGAUAACGAGCGCAACCCUCAUUACUAGUUGCCAAUAUUAAGUUAGGAACUCUAGUGAGACUGCCGUGGAUAACACGGAGGAAGGUGGGGAUGACGUCAAAUCAUCAUGCCCCUUACGUCUUGGGCUACACACGUGCUACAAUGGCUACUACAAAGAGCUGCAAACCCGUGAGGGCAAGCGAAUCUCAAAAAGGUAGUCUCAGUUCGGAUUGUGGGCUGCAACCCGCCCACAUGAAGUCGGAGUUGCUAGUAAUCCCGAAUCAGCAUGUCGGGGUGAAUGCGUUCCCGGGCCUUGCACACACCGCCCGU
rnacentral:rRNA from 1 species